ensembl:snRNA RNA, U6atac small nuclear 6, pseudogene
GUGUUGUAUGAAAGGAAAAAGUGGGUACUCCCCUUGAUAAGGAUGCAUGAGGCCCUCGGGCCUGACAACAAGCAUACAUAAAGUCACUGCCACCUACUUUGUGGCAUCUAUCGUUUGUUUUUU